AUAAGAGGUCCCACCUGCCCUGUGACUUAAAGUUUAACGGCCGCGGUAUCCUAACCGUGCGAAGGUAGCGCAAUCAAUUGCCUUUUAAAUGAAGGCCUGUAUGAAUGGUAUAACGAGGGUUUAGCUGUCUCUUUUUUCUAGUCAGUGAAACUGAUCUGCCCGUGCAGAAGCGGGCAUUAGUAUACAAGACGAGAAGACCCUAUGGAGCUUUAGACGCUAGCCAACUAUCGACAGGCGACUGACCACUAAGCAGACCUUAAAUACCCGCUAGUUAUGGUAAAGCAGUCUUAGGUUGGGGCGACCACGGGAGAAAAUAAAGCUCCCAGGCAGACCGGGGGAUACCCUUGAGCCAAGAGUAGCUACUCUAAGCCACAGAAUUUUUGACUGAGAUGAUCCGGUUGACAGACCGAUUGACGAACCAAGUUACCCUAGGGAUAACAGCGCAAUCCCCUCCCAGAGUCCCUAUCGACGAGGGGGUUUACGACCUCGAUGUUGGAUCAGGACAUCCUAAUGGUGCAGCCGCUAUUAAGGGUUCGUUUGUUCAACGAUUAAAGUCCUACGUGAUCUGAGU
rnacentral:rRNA from 1 species